rnacentral:rRNA from 1 species
GCUCCUACGGGGCGCAGCAGUGGGGACUAUUGCACAAUGGGGGACCCCCUGAUGCCGCGACGCCGCGUGAGCGAUGAAGUAUUUCGGUAUGUAAAGCUCUCUCAGCAGGGAAGAAAAUGACGGUACCUGACUAAGAAGCCCCGGCUAACUACGUGCCAGCAGCCGCGGUAAUACGUAGGGGGCAAGCGUUAUCCGGAUUUACUGGGUGUAAAGGGAGCGUAGACGGCUGUGCAAGCCAGAUGUGAAAGCCCGGGGCUCAACCCCGGGACUGCAUUUGGAACUGCGUGGCUUGAGUGUCGGAGAUG